rnacentral:rRNA from 1 species
GCAUAUCAAUAAGCGGAGGAAAAGAAACCAACAGGGAUUGCCCCAGUAACGGCGAGUGAAGCGGCAACAGCUCAAAUUUGAAAUCUGGCCCCAGGCCCGAGUUGUAAUUUGCAGAGGAUGCUUUUGGCGCGGUGCCUUCCGAGUUCCCUGGAACGGGACGCCAUAGAGGGUGAGAGCCCCGUACGGUUGGACACCAAGCCUUUGUAAAGCUCCUUCGACGAGUCGAGUAGUUUGGGAAUGCUGCUCUAAAUGGGAGGUACAUUUCUUCUAAAGCUAAAUAUUGGCCAGAGACCGAUAGCGCACAAGUAGAGUGAUCGAAAGAUGAAAAGCACUUUGAAAAGAGGGUUAAACAGCACGUGAAAUUGUUAAAAGGGAAGCGCUUGUGACCAGACUUGCGUCCGGUGAAUCACCCAGCUCUCGCGGCUGGGGCACUUCGCCGGCACAGGCCAGCAUCAGCUUGCCGUCGGGGACAAAAGCUUCAGGAACGUGGCUCCUCUCGGGGAGUGUUAUAGCCUGUUGCAUAAUACCCUUCGGCGGGCUGAGGUACGCGCUCCGCAAGGAUGCUGGCGUAAUGGUCAUCAGCGACC